CACGUAGGGGGCGAGCGUUGUCCGGAUUUAUUGGGCGUAAAGAGCUCGUAGGCGGCUCAGUAAGUCGGGUGUGAAACCUCCAGGCUCAACCUGGAGACGCCACCCGAUACUGUCGUGACUAGAGUCCAGUAGGGGAGCGUGGAAUUCCUGGUGUAGCGGUGAAAUGCGCAGAUAUCAGGAGGAACACCAGCGGCGAAGGCGGCGCUCUGGGCUGGAACUGACGCUGAGGAGCGAAAGCGUGGGGAGCGAACAGG
rnacentral:rRNA from 1 species